rnacentral:ncRNA from 1 species
CAGAUAGAGGUGCGGUUGAGAUCAGUACCGCUGCUGCCGACGGCUUUGCCGCCAAAGUGAUGCACCCGACAUCAUGCAGCAGUGCGAAAGGUGAUACCGCCGAAGCGGACCGUGGGAACGUCCAGCUGGCUGUUUGGUCUAACAGACCACCGGUUGUCAUCAUGUAUUAUGAUGGAGUGCUAUCG